rnacentral:rRNA from 1 species
AGUGAACGCUGGCGGCAGGCCUAAUACAUGCAAGUCGAACGGCAGCACAGCAGAGCUUGCUCUGUGGGUGGCGAGUGGCGGACGGGUGAGGAAUACAUGGGAAUCUGCCCAGGUCGUGGGGGAUAACGUAUGGAAACGUACGCUAAUACCGCAUGCGCCCUUCGGGGGAAAGCCGGGGACCUUCGGGCCUGGCGCGAUUGGAUGAGCCCAUGUCGGAUUAGCUAGUUGGCGGGGUAAAGGCCCACCAAGGCGACGAUCCGUAGCUGGUCUGAGAGGAUGAUCAGCCACACUGGGACUGAGACACGGCCCAGACUCCUACGGGAGGCAGCAGUAGGGAAUAUUGGACAAUGGGCGCAAGCCUGAUCCAGCCAUGCCGCGUGAGUGAAGAAGGCCCUCGGGUUGUAAAGCUCUUUUGUCCGGAAAGAAAAGCAUUCGGUUAAUACCCGAGUGUUCUGACGGUACCGGAAGAAUAAGCACCGGCUAACUUCGUG